UACGGAGGGGGCAAGCGUUGUUCGGAAUUACUGGGCGUAAAGGGCUCGUAGGUGGCCCCAUAAGUCAGACGUGAAAUCCCUCGGCUCAACCGAGGAACUGCGUCUGAGACUGUGGGGCUUGAAUCCGGGAGAGGGAUGCGGAAUUCCAGGUGUAGCGGUGAAAUGCGUAGAUAUCUGGAGGAACACCGGUGGCGAAGGCGGCAUCCUGGACCGGUAUUGACACUGAUGAGCGAAAGCCAGGGGAGCAAACGGG
rnacentral:rRNA from 1 species